CACGUAGGGGGCGAGCGUUUGUCCGGAUUCGAUUGGGCGUAAAGAGCUCGUAGGCGGUCUGUCGCGUCUGCUGUGAAAACUCGGGGCUUAACCCCGGGCCUGCAGUGGGUACGGGCAGACUAGAGUGCGGUAGGGGAGACUGGAAUUCCUGGUGUAGCGGUGAAAUGCGCAGAUAUCAGGAGGAACACCGGUGGCGAAGGCGGGUCUCUGGGCCGUAACUGACGCUGAGGAGCGAAAGCGUGGGGAGCGAACAGG
rnacentral:rRNA from 1 species